rnacentral:rRNA from 1 species
CAGCCGCCGCGGGAAUACGGAGGGGGCUAGCGUUGUUCGGAAUUACUGGGCGUAAAGCGCACGUAGGCGGCUUGGUAAGUUAGAGGUGAAAGCCCGGAGCUCAACUCCGGAAUUGCCUUUAAGACUGCCGAGCUAGUAGGUGAGAGAGGUAAGUGGAAUUCCGAGUGUAGAGGUGAAAUUCGUAGAUAUUCGGAAGAACACCAGUGGCGAAGGCGGCUUACUGGCUCAUUCUAGACGCUGAGGUGCGAAAGCGUGGGGAGCAAACAGGAUUAGAUACCCCGGUAGUCCCUGUCUCUUAUAC